UGAAUUCAGCAGAGAACACAGUGGGAGUUCGACCCAGUUUAGCUGAAAGUCUGUCUAAAAUGAAACUGCCGACAUCAUUCCCAGCUCUUGUUCUGAUGAUGCCUUUGAGUGAACAAAACCAUACGUCAGUGAGAUGGCCUCUGAAGAUGAAGCUGAAAAGAUACAUUUCCUAAGCCCAGCAGUGUAACUGGGAAAGCAAUGAGCCAGGACAUAAACUAUCUAUAAGAAGCCAAUGCUCUAUAUAUUUUUACAUGGGGGCACAUCUUUGGAAUCUCCAUGAAAUUCAAAACUGAGUCAUCAAUUCAGAAGUCCUGUGUGACACCCCCACACUCACCAUCUCCCAAUGGCAAGCAUCAUGGCAUCUUAUGAAUGAUGUGGCUGAACCCAAUGAUUACCUAGGACC